AACGCACAUUGCGCCCCUUGGUAUUCCGAGGGGCAUGCCUGUUCGAGCGUCAUUAUAACCCUCAAGCCUAGCUUGGUGUUGGGGCCUGUCAUUACUGACAGCCCUUAAAAUCAGUGGCGGUGCCAUCUGGCUCUAAGCGUAGUAAUUUCUCUCGCUAUAGGGUCCUGGUGGAUACUUGCCAACAACCCCCAAUUUUCUAUGGUUGACCUCGGAUCAGGUAGGGAUACCCGCUGAACUUAA
rnacentral:misc_RNA from 1 species